rnacentral:rRNA from 1 species
CAGCAGCCGCGGGAAUACGUAGGUGGCAAGCGUUGUCCGGAAUUAUUGGGCGUAAAGCGCGCGCAGGCGGAUCGGUCAGUCUGUCUUAAAAGUUCGGGGCUUAACCCCGUGAUGGGAUGGAAACUGCCAAUCUAGAGUAUCGGAGAGGAAAGUGGAAUUCCUAGUGUAGCGGUGAAAUGCGUUGAGAUCGGAAAGAACACCAACGGCGAAAGCACUCUGCUGGGCCGACACUGACACUGAGAGACGAAAGCUAGGGGAGCAAAUGGGAUUAGAUACCCCUGUAGUCCCUGUCUCUUAUACA